UGGAUCCAGACCUUUAUUAUGGCUCAGGACGAACGCUAUCUACAGGCUUAACACAUGCAAGUCGAGGGGAAACGACAUCGAAAGCUUGCUUUUGAUGGGCGUCGACCGGCGCACGGGUGAGUAACGCGUAUCCAACCUGCCCAUCACUUGGGAAUAACCUUGCGAAGGUAAGACUAAUGCCCAAUGACAUCCCACGAAGACAUCUGAAUGGGAUUAAAGAUUUAUCGGUGAUGGAUGGGGAUGCGUCUGAUUAGCUUGUUGGCGGGGUAACGGCCCACCAAGGCAACGAUCAGUAGGGGUUCUGAGAGGAAGGUCCCCCACAUUGGAACUGAGACACGGUCCAAACUCCUACGGGAGGCAGCAGUGAGGAAUAUUGGUCAAUGGGCGAGAGCCUGAACCAGCCAAGUAGCGUGCAGGAUGACGGCCCUAUGGGUUGUAAACUGCUUUUAUAAGGGAAUAAAGUGAGUCUCGUGAGACUUUUUGCAUGUACCUUAUGAAUAAGGACCGGCUAAUUCCGUGCCAGCAGCCGCGGUAAUACGGAAGGUCCGGGCGUUAUCCGGAUUUAUUGGGUUUAAAGGGAGCGUAGGCCGGAGAUUAAGCGUGUUGUGAAAUGUAGAGGCUCAACCUCUGCGCUGCAGCGCGAACUGGUCUUCUUGAGUACGCACAACGUGGGCGGAAUUCGUGGUGUAGCGGUGAAAUGCUUAGAUAUCACGAAGAACUCCGAUUGCGAAGGCAGCUCACGGGAGCGCAACUGACGCUGAAGCUCGAAAGUGCGGGUAUCGAACAGGAUUAGAUACCCUGGUAGUCCGCACGGUAAACGAUGGGUGCCCGCUGUUGGCCUGAAUAGGUCAGCGGCCAAGCGAAAGCAUUAAGCAUCCCACCUGGGGAGUACGCCGGCAACGGUGGGGGUCAAAGGAAUUGACGGA
rnacentral:rRNA from 1 species